UGGCUAUAGCUCAGUUGGUUAGAGCGCUGGUUUGUGGUUCCAGAGGUCGCCGGUUCGAUUCCGGUUAGUCACC
rnacentral:tRNA from 1 species